GCCGACCAGACCGGCAGAGAAGUACUUUUUCAACACUUCAGGAGGAUUGAAUUCUUCUCGAAUGUGGUCGAUCCUGUGUUGGCGGCGCCAUUCCAGCGUCUAGUCGUCGUCCGAGAAGCCAGUGAAUUAUGAGAUUUAUUAGUCACGGGCUAUCCAAGUCGGUGCCGUUCACCCUAGCCGUAGCCGAUUCCACUUUGAUCGAGUACCAAAUCUUCUUUGAGCGGAGGUAA